AUUGAACGCUGGCGGCAGGCCUAACACAUGCAAGUCGAGCGGAGCGGCGGACGGGUGAGUAAUGCCUAGGAAUCUGCCUGGUAGUGGGGGUUUACGUCCGUAAACGUGCGCUCAUACCGCAUACUAUCAGAUGAGCCUAGGUCGGAUUAGCUAGUUGGUGGGGUAAAGGCCUACCAAGGCGACGACCCGUAACUGGUCUGAGAGGAUGAGCAGUCAGACUGGAACUGAGACACAGGCCAGAGUCCUACGGGAGGAAGCAGUGGGGAAUAUUGGACAAUGGGCGAGAGCCUGAACCAGACAUGCCGCGUGUGUGAAGAAGGUCUUAGGAGUGUAAAGAACUUUAAGUUGGGAGGCGUUACCAACAGAAUAAGCACCGGCUAACUUCGUGCCAGCAGCCGCGGUAAUUC
rnacentral:rRNA from 1 species